GAACCGGGCCAGUCAGGUUUCGCCACGUGGCGAGAUUUGGUUUUAUUUUAUUUUAUUUUAAUUCGGCCGAUUUGGAUAAGGCACUUUUGCAGAAAAGUCCUCGUAACUUCAAAGCAUCAUAUCUUUCAAACCGUCUGUCCAAAAAUUGUGCUCCGCACCAUUCUGGAAUCGUCACAACUUGUAGAAUAUUUUAGCACUGUCUAAUUUCAGUUUUGAACAACUUAGG
rnacentral:lncRNA from 1 species